AUUGAACGCUGGCGGAAUGCUUUACACAUGCAAGUCGAACGGCAGCACGGACUUCGGUCAGGUGGCGAGUGGCGAACGGGUGAGUAACAUAUCGGAACGUAUCCAAUAAUGGGGGAUAACGAGUCGAAAGAUUCGCUAAUACCGCAUACGCCCUACGGGGGAAAGCUGGGGACCUUCGGGCCUGGCGUUAAUGGAGCGGCCGAUAUCUGAUUAGCUAGUUGGGGAGGGAAAGGCUAACCAAGGCGACGAUCAGUAGCUGGUCUGAGAGGACGACCAGCCACACUGGAACUGAGACACGGUCCAGACUCCUACGGGAGGCAGCAGUGGGGAAUUUUGGACAAUGGGCGCAAGCCUGAUCCAGCCAUUCCGCGUGAGUGAAGAAGGCCUUCGGGUUGUAAAGCUCUUUCGCAAGGGAAGAAAACUUAGCCACUAACAUUGGUUGAGGUUGACGGUACCUUGAUAAGAAGCACCGGCUAACUCCGUGCCAGCAGCCGCGGUAA
rnacentral:rRNA from 1 species